rfam:Bombyx mori DNA, contig: Bm_scaf5_contig4402, strain: p50T/Dazao, build 2, whole genome shotgun sequence.
UUGAUUCACAUUUGUAUGGAGUUGGAACGUUUGCCUACGUUUGCCGCUAGGGGCGUUGUUCCAACUCCAUACAAAUUUUAGUUA